CCAUGGUCCACCACCUCCUCCAGGACAGCCACAAGGACCACCCCCACAACAGGGGCAGCCUCCCCAGUAAUCUAGGAUUCAAUGACAGGAAAUGAGUUAGAAGAUAAGUGUUUCAAAUGCCAAAACACAAUAUGGUCAUGCUCUAACUUCAAUAUACCAAUAAAAUAAUCAGCUUGCAAUUC